rnacentral:rRNA from 1 species
GUUGAUAAGGUUAAGUGAAUAAGGGCGCACGGUGGAUGCCUUGGCACUAGGAGCCGAUGAAGGACGGGACUAACACCGAUAUGCUUUGGGGAGCUGUACGUAAGCUAUGAUCCAGAGAUUUCCGAAUGGGGGAACCCAACAUCUUUAAUAGGAUGUUACGAUUGUGUGAAUACAUAGCACAUUCGAGGUAGACGCAGAGAACUGAAACAUCUAAGUACCUGCAGGAAGAGAAAGAAAAUUCGAUUCCCUGAGUAGCGGCGAGCGAAACGGGAAAAGCCCAAACCAGCAAGCUUGCUUGUUGGGGUUGUAGGACUCCAAUAUGGUAGUUCUUUCAGAUAGUCGAAUGACUUGGAAAAGUCAGUCAAAGAGGGUAAAAACCCCGUAGACGAAAUGUGGAAGACACCUAGGAGGAUCCUGAGUACGGCGGAACACGAGAAAUUCCGUCGGAAUCCGGGAGGACCAUCUCCCAAGGCUAAAUACUCCCUAGUGACCGAUAGUGAACCAGUACCGUGAGGGAAAGGUGAAAAGCACCCCGGAAGGGGAGUGAAAUAGAACCUGAAACCGUGUGCCUACAACAAGUCAAAGCCCGUUAAUGGGUGAUGGCGUGCCUUUUGUAGAAUGAACCGGCGAGUUACGAUUGCAUGCGAGGUUAAGUUGAAGAGACGGAGCCGCAGCGAAAGCGAGUCUGAAUAGGGCGUUUGAGUAUGUAGUCGUAGACCCGAAACCAUGUGAUCUACCCAUGUCCAGGUUGAAGGUGCGGUAAAACGCACUGGAGGACCGAACCCACGUACGUUGAAAAGUGCGGGGAUGAGGUGUGGGUAGCGGAGAAAUUCCAAACGAACUUGGAGAUAGCUGGUUCUCUCCGAAAUAGCUUUAGGGCUAGCCUCGGAAUUGAGAAUGAUGGAGGUAGAGCACUGUUUGGACUAGGGGCCCAUCUCGGGUUACCGAAUUCAGAUAAACUCCGAAUGCCAUUCAUUCAUAUCCGGGAGUCAGACUGUGAGUGAUAAGAUCCAUAGUCGAAAGGGAAACAGCCCAGACCACCAGCUAAGGUCCCAAAAUAUAUGUUAAGUGGAAAAGGAUGUGGGGUUGCACAGACAACUAGGAUGUUGGCUUAGAAGCAGCCACCAUUUAAAGAGUGCGUAAUAGCUCACUAGUCGAGUGACCCUGCGCCGAAAAUGUACCGGGGCUAAACAUAUUACCGAAGCUGUGGAGUACACCUUUAGGUGUAUUGGUAGGAGAGCGUUCUAAGGGCGUUGAAGGCAGAUCGUGAGGACUGCUGGAGCGCUUAGAAGUGAGAAUGCCGGUAUGAGUAGCGAAAGACAGGUGAGAAUCCUGUCCACCGAAUGACUAAGGUUUCCUGGGGAAGGCUCGUCCGCCCAGGGUUAGUCGGGACCUAAGCCGAGGCCGACAGGCGUAGGCGAUGGAUAACAGGUUGAUAUUCCUGUACCCGUUGUUUUUGUUUGAGCAAUGGAGGGACGCAGGAGGCUAAGGAAUGCAGACGAUCGGAAAUGUCUGUCCAAGCAGUAAGUCUGAAGAGGAGUCAAAUGCUUCUUUUCUUAAGGACAAGCUGUGAUGGGGAGGGAAAUAAUAGUACCGAAGUUCCUGAUGUCACACUGCCGAGAAAAGCUUCUAGUGAGAAAACAGCGGCCCGUACCGCAAACCGACACAGGUAGUCGAGGAGAGAAUCCUAAGGUGAGCGAGAGAACUCUCGUUAAGGAACUCGGCAAAAUGACCCCGUAACUUCGGGAGAAGGGGUGCUGAUCAUACGAUCAGCCGCAGUGAAUAGGCCCAAGCGACUGUUUAUCAAAAACACAGGUCUCUGCAAAAUCGUAAGAUGAAGUAUAGGGGCUGACGCCUGCCCGGUGCUGGAAGGUUAAGAGGAGUGCUUAGCGCAAGCGAAGGUACGAAUUGAAGCC